rnacentral:piRNA from 1 species
UGCCUUCGGAACCUCUUCAGUUGG